rnacentral:rRNA from 1 species
GUGGGGAAUCUUGCGCAAUGGGCGAAAGCCUGACGCAGCCAUGCCGCGUGAAUGAUGAAGGUCUUAGGAUUGUAAAAUUCUUUCACCGGGGACGAUAAUGACGGUACCCGGAGAAGAAGCUCCGGCUAACUUCGUGCCAGCAGCCGCGGUAAUACGAAGGGGGCUAGCGUUGCUCGGAAUUACUGGGCGUAAAGGGCGCGUAGGCGGACAGCUUAGUCAGGGGUGAAAGCCCAGGGCUCAACCUUGUAAUUGCCUUUGAUACUGGCUGUCUUGAGUUUGGGAGAGUUGAGUGGAACUCCGAGUGUAGAGGUGAAAUUCGUAGAUAUUCGGAAGAACACCAGUGGCGAAGGCGACUCACUGGCCCAAUACUGACGCUGAGGCGCGAAAGCGUGGGGAGCGAACAGGAUUAGAAACCCCAGUAGUCC